GAGGAUAGAGUCUUGGUUUUAUUCUUUCCCCAGAUUUCCAUUUUAACCAUUAGAUCAUGAGUCCAUAGCCUUUGAAAAAAAUUGACAGAAUUGAUUCAGCCACCUCUGUUUCCUUGGAUAUCUUUGGUUCAGAUGUAGUUUACAGACUGGUUCAUAUAACAUAAAGCACAAAACAUCCAAAUGAUGAUGCCAUUUUGAAUUGAUAUUAAUGGGGUUAAGACCCAAUUCUGAAUUUGCAUUUAAUUUUAGUGACAUGAAUGGACUUGUUUUAUAAGUGGAAAUAAGCUUUAUACCAACAGUUAGAGAUUUCAAACUUUGUAGAAAUCACUAAUUAUCAUUCUUUGUGUUCUAUUCCACCAAAAUUAAAACUUUGACAUUGCCAUAAUCUUUGUAAGUGUUGUAAUAAUCCCUUUAGAGACUACAUCGUAAGGGCAAUUAUCAAGACUACAUUAAGAAUAUUUUCACAGGGAGUUCCAUUGUGGUUCAGUGGUAACAAACCCGAUUAGUAUCCAUGAGGAUGAGGGUUCAAUCCCUGGUCCCGUUCAGUGGGUUAAGGAUCCGGCAUUGCAGUGGGCUCUGGUGUAGAUUGCAGAUGUGGCUCAGGUCUGGAGUUGCUGUGGCUGUGGUGUAGGCCAGCAAGCUACAGCUCCAAUUGGACCACGAGCCUGGGAACUUCCAUGUGCCACAGGUAUGGCCCUAAAAAGAUCAAAAAGAAAAUAUAUCUAUACUUAUUAAUUUGCACCAAAAGAGAGAGGAAGUGAAAGAGAGAGAGAGCAAGAGAGAGAGAGAGAGAGAGGCUAUCAUUAACUACUAAUAGAGUCUGAAAGGAUAUAAGCGUGCUUAUUACAUUUUGAAACAGUUAAAAAAAUGCUAUUUUUUUCCUCAAGGGAUUUCCAUGGAGGUAUAUUCUUUCUUUGGGCAUUCCACUUUUAAGGUAAAAUAAUUCUCAAUUCACUAAUGUGUAAAACCCAUAUGAUUUAUAUAUGCUAUAAAGUAAGAAUUACUAAUGAAAAGUCAAUCACAUAACCAUCUUCUAAAUAUGGUUUAGAAAAGGAAAAUCUUGCCACUAAAACAUUGCAUGUUACUUAUAAAAACAUAAAUAGGACAUCCUUAUAUGUCUUUAUAAACUUCUGGUUUUUAAAGCUCAUCAUAGAAACUGCCUCCUGAGAAACAAAAUGCUAUUUGGUAUUUUUCCCUUACAGAAAGAUUGUUUCUUUAAUAGCUAACAACAGAAUUUUUGCAUGGGAAGGUCAAAUUGGAGCUGUCACUUCAGAAAUCAGCAAGGAGUGGAUUCAGAGUUUGUUUCCUCUUCCAACUAGUUCAUCUGCACAUAAAUGUUCAGGAGCCGAUGUUCUUUUAUCCUCAUGGGGCAAUGAGCUUCAAAUGAACCUGGUGUUCUAACUCUCAGCAGGGAAUAGUCCUGAUAGUAGGAGAUCCCAUUUGCCAUUAUCUAUUUGUGUUGCAAGGUAAUUCAUUUUGGGUUGAGAUCAAAUUGUUUUAAGCUGAGCUGGUAUUUUUAUUGGUGUCCUUCCAGCCAGCCUUCCUGGUAAGAACCGUCGUUAUUUCUAACAAGCUGACCUAAAGGAAAAGAUUAUUUCUGCCAGUGUGCAUUGUCACAAGGGAACAAAGAUGUGCAAGACCUAUUUUACGUUAGUUACUUAUUUUUAAAGCAUUGAUAGAGGUAUGAGAGUGGUAGUCUGCUCUUGGGGGAAAUCAGCUGACUAGUUGAUGAAGGGUCAGGAAAAAUGGGUGAUGAUGGGAACAUCUAAAACGAUCUGUUAGUAUUUGCUGUAAAAUUACCAUUUAAAGUUGAGGAAGGUAAUAUUUGCAAAAUGUAAUAGAUAUUGUAAAAAUACUGAAAAACUCAACUCCAAACUGCCAAGUAACAUAUAUCAUUGGUUUCUAUUGCUAUUUAAUUAUUUGAGAAAUUUGGCAUAUAUAUAUAUAGUAUAGUAUAUGUGUAUAUAUACACAUAUACACACACUUUAGUGUUAAAAAGAUUCAAGAAAAGGGAGUUCCUUUCGUGGCUCAGUGGUUAACAAACCUGACUAGGAUCCAUGAGGAUGCGGGUUCGAUCCCUGGCCUCACUCAUUGGGUUAAGGAUCUGGAGUUGCCGUUAGCUAUGGUGUAGGUUGCACAUGCAGCUUGGAUUCCACAUUGCUGUGGCUGUGGCAUAGCCCUGCAGCUGUAGCUCUGAUUUGACCCCUAGCUUGGGAACUUCCGUAUGCUGGGAGUGAGUCCCCUAAAAAAAAAAAAUGCAGAAAAAAAAGAUUCAAAAAAAGAAUUGUUAGCCCAUGAUUCCCUGAGUUUAACUUUGAAUCUUUUCAUAGUAAAAGGAUAAAACAUCUAAUUCUGAUCCAUUUCCCAUUUCAACAACAUAAACUGAUCACAACACCUAGGUAAGAUAGGUGUGUAUUUUUGUUCCCCAGAUUGCAUAAAAAUGGUUUAGACAGUUGGCCCAAGGCAUUUUAAAAAGUCGGCAUUUGAGUUCACAUUAAAACUCGUGUGAGUUCCCUUUGUGGCUCACCAGGUUAAGAACCUGACAUAGUGUCUGUGAGGACGCAGGUUUGAUCCCUGGCCUCUCUCAGUGGGUUAAGGAUCUGGGGUUCCUGCAGUCGGCAGAGGUGCAUAUGCUACAGGUGUGGCCUUAAAAAGAAAAAAAAAAAAACCAUGGAGUGUAUUUUGACACAGGACCUAUUCUAAGAUAACUUACACAUCACUGAAAAGCACAAAGUUUAAGACAUAUUUCAGCAACAGGGGUUAGAGCAGGACAACAAGCCAUUAUAAGACUUUCCUCAUGAAUGCCAUUUUCCUGGGUGGCUUUUUUAGAGUGGGAUCUCCUAUCUGCUGCUUUAACGAGGCUUAUGCUUAAACAGCUAUCUUGCCUGAGUGAAAAUAUCACUUCUGCCAAAAAUAAAAUUGGUGAAAUCUUCAGAUGGUGAGUAGAAUACAGUAGACUAUCUGCAAGGGUUUGGUUUCUUGUUCAGUUAGGACUGCUCCAUGACCAAGCCUUGUACAGAGGAGAAUUAUUUCCUCAACAAAGGGUGGGAGCCCUAGAAAGCAGACAGGAUAGAAUUGGGGAGAGGGGCGCAGCCCACAAAAUCUCACCCCAAAUCUAAUGUAGUCUCAUAUUGAUUGAUUGAUGGUCUUUUUAAAAGGGCUGCAGCUCCAGCAUAUGGAGGUUCCCAGGCUAGGAGCUGAAUUGGAGCUGUAGCCAGCCUACACCACAGCCACAGCAACACCCAAUCUGAGCCUCAUCUGCAACCUACACCACAGCUCAUGGCAACACCAGAUCCUUAACCCACUGAGUGAGGCCAGGGAUCCAACCCGCAUUCUUAUAGAUACUAGUUGGGCUCAUUACUGCUGCAUCAUAAUGCUAAACAAGUAGGGAAGCCCAUUAGAAUUUGGAGCGGGAGCUGUAUGUGUAUCAGAAAGGCCUCAGAUUAGAGCUGAAAGAAUGCUUACCCCUCAGUUCAGCCACUCCAGGUGACUUCUAUGGGAAAAUAUUUUUAGAGAAAAAUCAGUUUUAUGUUGAAAUCUUCAAAUCUCCUGAUAACUGCUGAUCCACCAUCAAAAAGCUGAAAGAGGAGUACGUGCUAGGCUCAGCGAUUCAGAGGAGCUGCUGCUUUUGGUUGUAAGAGAAAGUUGCUCCAGCAGUCAACUCUGAGCUCCGCCUACUUCAGGCACAGCUCCCUCUGGGCCCUGCCCCCAAACUUUUCUCCCUUUUCUAAAAGCUUUUGCGACAUGCUAGCCAGGAUAGGCGUGUUUCUCUGGGCAGUGUGGUCCUCUUCCCUGGCCUGCCUUCUGGGAGGUGUGGUGUAGAGCUGCUGGGGAGCAGAAGUCUGCCCAUUUACCCCCUAGAGCACAGGCAGGGCCAACCUCAGGGUUAGGCCGCAGGUCAGGAGGCAGAGGGUCUACCUGAGGCCCUGAGCACAGGAGGGGUCACAGAUGCUUGGUCCUCCUGUGGAGGUUGGAGAGAGGAGAGGCGUUUGGAUCUGUCUUGGUGGUACCUUCUCAGUGACUCCGAACUGAGGCCUAGAAGAGUAGUGGCACUGAUGUAGGCCAGGAUCCAGAAGACAUGAGGACUAAAUCCAAAGCUUACCAAAGAAUAAGCAGACUUGCAGCCAACUCCUCAGCUGUGCUAUGGCUGUACCAGUCUCAGAAAGAGAACCUUUAUUGCAAGUAAGAACGAUUGAUGUGAACACAGAAUACAUGGUCGGGGCAGAGACCCUUAGUUAUAGCUGGAAUCCUGGCCACUCAGGUUAUUAUGAGUUUUGCUUCCAUUCUCAGGGACAUUCAGAGUGUUCAGUACAUAAUUCAAAGAGUACAUGUAGAGGAGUUUCCUUGUGGCUUAGCAGGUUAAGGAUCCGGUGUUGUCACUGCUGUGGCUUUGGUUAUAGCUGUGGCAUGGGUUAUAUCCCAGGCCCAUAAACUUCUGCAUGCUGUGGGCAUAGCCAAAAAAAAAAAAAAAAAAAAAAAAAAAAAGGAAAUGUGGUGGCUUUUCCAGGUGGUGAGUGCCUUUUCCUGUAUGAUCUUGGAAGGGUUAAAAAAAAUACAUAACAAAACUGCACUUGGCAAUGGGGGUUGGAAGAUCCAAUGUUUUUAUUUCAGUAACUAAACUCCUGAUGAAUGGCAUACUAUAUCGUAAAAUGUUGGCUUUUUAAAGCAGGUUUGAACUUUUACACAAUCUGUUUUAACACUGGCAUGCACACCUGUAUACAUAUAUACUGAGAUGGUUCUAAUUCUUAAUUAAAAAAAUUUGACAAAACUAAAAUGUUAAAUGUACACUAUAAUGAAAACACUGCUAUAACACCAACCAGAUGGCUUGUAUUCCUUGGAAAAUUAUUUAAAGCAUUUUGACUUAGAGGGAUAGCUUUAUUAUUUAAAGAAAUUCUUCAAACUGUAAAUAAAGGCAGCUCUUUGGCCCAGUGCACUGUCUCCUUAGUUUGCCUAAUUAUAAGAACCACUGGGGUGCUUAUUAAGCAUUUGAACCUUCAGAGCCCAAACUGGUCCUUCUGCAUCUUAAUCUCUAGAGUCAAAGAUAGGGAUCCUCACUCAUCCAGGUAAUUCUUAUGAUCAAGUAAGUUCAAACUCAGUUUUGUAAAGUAGCAAAUGGGCCUUGGAAGUUGAUUUUUUUUUAACGUCUAUGAAGGUAGAAUUAGUUCCUUCAAACAGUUUUAAUUUUUAAAAACCUUUUAUAUAAAACACUUUCAAAUCAUAGUUUUAUGUUCAAUGAGAAAAAAAUGUACCACGUAUGACAAGCAAAUGUAAGGAUUGGCUCCUGCUUGCCAAAUUUGAACAUGAAAGUGAUAAUUGAUGUUCCUAUCUAAAUGUCACCAAGCAGUAAUUUAAAAAAAGCUUUUACUAAAACUGUAUAUAUUUUGAAAGCAUCAAAGCCACUAUUGACCCAAAUAUCAAAGCAGUUUUUUUUUUUUAAAUCUCUACAUCCCAGAAAUAGAGGAAGUUAAGGUUUUACAAAAUCUUCAUUUGCAAAAACCUACUUGCCUUUUUACCUAUGGUGAAAAGAUAAAUGAAAAAUUAGUAGAUGGAUUCAUAAAACAAUUGGUAGAAAGAGUGUCCCAGUGGCCCCACGAUUAAUACUAUUGCACUGAAGGCCCGAGGUGGAAGCUUUAUACUUCUUAUAUUCUGGGCACCACUACCUCCCCUCACAGAUGCAAAGUCUAAGGCUUCAAAAGGUUAAAACUUGCCCAGCACCACACAGCUCACAGCUGGUCCCAACAUCUGUUCUCAGGCCCAUCCACCAUCCUGCACUCUAACUGACCCUGGAAUAACACAGCAGCCAUAGGGCCACUACUGUCUUACUGGAACCCAAAGAAAAUGAGAUGGGAAGCAGCGCAAGUAUCAAUUACAGGUUGAAAUAUUUUCUAGUUCAAGUUUUCCUAUUAAACAUAACACAAUAGUAUAUGGCAUACAUUUUCCUUUUGUGUGUAUUGCUAAAACAAAUUUUCAUUGAAAAACAACUACAAAAAUUCCAAACUAAAUUCCGGACUAAAUUGAUCUGUAAGCAUGUGCAUCUUUCUCAACAAGCAUUCGCACCUAGAUGCAACUAGAAAUUAUCAUCGUAAGUGAAGUAGGUCAGGAAGAGAAGGACAAAUACCAUAUGCUAUCACUCACAUGUGGAAUCUAAAAUAUGGCACAAAUGAGCCUAUCUACAAAACAGAAACAGACUCACAAACAUGGAGAAUAGACUGUGGUUGCAAAGGGGGGAUGGGAAAGGGAGUGGGAUGGGCAGGGAGUUUGGGGUUAAUAGGUGCAAAUGAUCACAUUUUGAAUGGACAAGGUCCUACUGUAUAGCUCAGGGAACUA
rnacentral:lncRNA from 1 species